rnacentral:rRNA from 1 species
GAUGAACGCUGGCGGCGUGCCUAAUACAUGCAAGUCGAACGCUUCACUUUGGUGAAGAGUGGCAAACGGGUGAGUAAUACAUAAGUAACCUGGCAUCUACAGGGGGAUAACUGAUGGAAACGUCAGCUAAGACCGCAUAGGUGUAGAGAUCGCAUGAACUCUAUAUGAAAAGUGCUACGGGACUGGUAGAUGAUGGACUUAUGGCGCAUUAGCUGGUUGGUAGGGUAACGGCCUACCAAGGCGACGAUGCGUAGCCGACCUGAGAGGGUGACCGGCCACACUGGGACUGAGACACGGCCCAGACUCCUACGGGAGGCAGCAGUAGGGAAUUUUCGGCAAUGGGGGAAACCCUGACCGAGCAACGCCGCGUGAAGGAAGAAGUAAUUCGUUAUGUAAACUUCUGUCAUAGAGGAAGAACGGUGGAUAUAGGGAAUGAUAUCCAAGUGACGGUACUCUAUAAGAAAGC